GAGCGCAACAUAUUGCCAGCCAUUCUGGCGCUGAAGCUACCUGCGGGUAUUUCAGGUAACGGGGCCGCCUGAGAGGGCGGCCUUUUUACUUUCA
rnacentral:sRNA from 1 species